UACGAAGGGAGCUAGCGUUGUUCGGAAUCACUGGGCGUAAAGCGCACGUAGGCGGAUGUGUCAGUCAGGGGUGAAAUCCCGGAGCUCAACUUCGGAACUGCCUUUGAUACAGCACGUCUUGAGUCCGAUAGAGGUGGGUGGAAUUCCGAGUGUAGAGGUGAAAUUCGUAGAUAUUCGGAAGAACACCAGUGGCGAAGGCGACUCACUGGACACAUAUUGACGCUGAGGUGCGAAAGCGUGGGGAGCAAACAGG
rnacentral:rRNA from 1 species